GGGCCCAUAGCUCAAUUGGCAGAGCUGUCGGCUCAUAACCGACAGGUUCCUGGUUCAAGUCCAGGUGGGCCCA
rnacentral:tRNA from 1 species